UUGGGUGUAAACCCGCACGCGUAAUGAAAGUGAACGUAGGUGAGAGCUUCGGCGCAUCAUCGACCGAUCCUGAUGUUUUCGGAUGGAUUUGAGUAGGAGCGUUAAGCCUUGGACCCGAAAGAUGGUGAACUAUGCUUGGAUAGGGUGAAGCCAGAGGAAACUCUGGUGGAGGCUCGCAGCGGUUCUGACGUGCAAAUCGAUCGUCAAAUCUGAGCAUGGGGGCGAAAGACUAAUCGAACCAUCUAGUAGCUGGUUACCGCCGAAGUUUCCCUCAGGAUAGCAGUGUUGUCUUCAGUUUUAUGAGGUAAAGCGAAUGAUUAGGGACUCGGGGGCGCUUUUUAGCCUUCAUCCAUUCUCAAACUUUAAAUAUGUAAGAAGCCCUUGUUACUUAAUUGAACGUGGGCAUUCGAAUGUACCAACACUAGUGGGCCAUUUUUGGUAAGCAGAACUGGCGAUGCGGGAUGAACCGAACGCGGGGUUAAGGUGCCGGAGUGGACGCUCAUCAGACACCACAAAAGGCGUUAGUACAUCUUGACAGCAGGACGGUGGCCAUGGAAGUCGGAAUCCGCUAAGGACUGUGUAACAACUCACCUGCCGAAUGUACUAGCCCUGAAAAUGGAUGGCGCUCAAGCGUCCCACCCAUACCCCGCCCUCAGGGUAGAAACGAUGCCCUGAGGAGUAGGCGGCCGUGGAGGUCAGUGACGAAGCCUAGGGCGUGAGCCC
rnacentral:rRNA from 1 species